UUUCAUUUUUCUAAGAUGCUCUGGAGCUCCAGGGAACAGAGAAUGUAAGCAAUUCGGCUGUGAUCACCUGGGGCAGCACCAAAGAUAUGCUAGUCUUAUGACUGCAGGUCAAUGGCAUGGCACAGCAGGACAUGAUGCCCAAAGUAAUCGAAGGAAUGUAUGGUUAUCAUUGAAGACUGUAUGGACUUGGGAAUUCAGUAAGACUCCUCUCCUUAACUCAACUCUGAGAUAAGAAGUAAUGACUCAAAAUCAGAGUGACCAUGAGCAAAUUGGUGGAAAAAGAAACUUAAAGCCAGAUUUGGAUCUUAAUCUGAAGGGGAUCAUCAGCUCCUUGGACACUUGAGCUCCUGGCGAGUCUGUGACCAGAAAAGCAGCGUGGAUGGCAG